CACGUAGUUAGCCGGGGCUUCUUGGUCAGGUACCGUCUUGUCUCGUUCCUGCUGAUAGAGCUUUACAUACCGAAAUACUUCUUCACUCACGCGGCGUCGCUGCAUCAGGGUUUCCCCCAUUGUGCAAUAUUCCCCACUGCUGCCUCCCGUAGGAGUUUGGGCCGUGUCUCAGUCCCAAUGUGGCCGUCCACCCUCUCAGGCCGGCUACUGAUCGUCGCUUUGGUAGGUCGUUACCCUGCCAACUGGCUAAUCAGACGCGGGUCCAUCCCAUACCACCGGAGUUUUUCACACAGGAGCAUGCGCUCCCGUGCGCUUAUGCGGUAUUAGCACCUGUUUCCAGGUGGUAUCCCCCGGUAUGGGGCAGGUUACCCACGCGUUACUCACCCGUCCGCCACUAAGAUACUCAUUUCCAAAGUGCAAGCACUCCUUCAUAAGCAUCCCCGUUGACUUGCAUGUGUUAAGCACGCCGCCAGCGUUCAUCCUGAGCCAGGAUCAAACUCUAC
rnacentral:rRNA from 1 species